UGCCCUGAAGAAGAUCGGAGUGAUCCACACUGAUGUUAAAACCAAUAGCUGAUUGGCUUUGACAUGGCUAUUUUCAGCCAUAAAGCCAAGCAGACCACGGUGAUUUCUGAUUUCUAUAGAUGAGGUCUAAAGAAGCACUGAUCUUUAUUUUACGGUUUUUGUUCUACCACAAAAUAACAUGCUCUGUAUGUGCAGGUGGGUGAUGAUCUGCUGUGAUAACUUUGUACUAAUGCUAUUAUUACAUUAUGUGCUACAUUAUGCUUUAAUAAUUAAAAUAUGACAAUGUACCUAUUUUUUUCAAUGCUUUUAUUCCACAUUCAGGAGAAAUUAUGUCGAAACUACCAUUUUCUGAGGCCAAUGACAUGUGGUCGCUGAGUUGCGUGAUGGUGAAAAUGGUUGUGGGCUCAACGCUGUUCCCGGGGAGGAGUGACUAUGAGACAAUAAAUGUGUCUGAAGAAAGAUAGAGGAUCAAAAGACAAUAAAAUGAGGGAGUGCAGCAACCUGUUAAAGGCCAUGCUCCAGUGGGAUGCGAGGGAGAGGAUUACCCCCAGCGAAGUCCUCACACAUAUAUUUAUUACCAGUAGCUACCGCAACAAGAGCUAAUCCUUAGACAACAGGGGUCGUCAGGCAAGCACAGGAGGAAGCAGGGAAGGAGGAUGACACACAGGGAGCAGGACAGAAAAAUCCUCAUCAUUGUGAGUCACUUGUUGAUAUAAUUCUGCAUUAUGCAGGUACUGCUCCCCUUUGGACAGGUCUUAUGCUGACAAGUCUUGGCAAAACCUGGGACAGUAAUGCCAGUGUUGUCAUCUCAACAUCAAAAUUGCACAGAAGAGCAGAAGAUUUUCUGCAGCUACAGCAUGAGUUUGUUGUUGGCAAACUCAAGGGAAUGAACACAAACUGUAAAGACACACAGAAACCUGAGGGCCCACAGACACUUCCCCUAUCACCAGAGGAGGCAUAGAGGAAGCAAAGUAUAACUCAAAAGAGAAAAUCAAAGUACUUCAGCUCCCCUCCCCCAGCGAAAAAGGUCCAAGUACUUUUGACAGAAAAAGGAGCAUGUCCAAGACAUUGACACAUGAUAAAAGUGAAACAACACCCAGCUCAUGUCCAGCACCACAAAAACACAAAGGAUUCUGUCCACAUUGAGGAGAGAAGGGAAACAUAGGCCAGCAAACACUAUGCAUGACAAACACUUGCAUAGUUGACAAUCCCCUGUACACAUUGUAUCUGGCAAUAAAGAGGAGACCAGGCAUUAAGAAUGACUUACAAACAAAUGCAAAUCUUAACCUGUGGAUUGAUACCUUGCUUCAGGUUCAUGAGGUUGAGAAGAAGGAGUGGUCACAGGGAAAAUUACUAUGGCUGAACACCAUCGGAAGAUUCAAAGGACACUCAUGGAAUGCAUUUGGGACUG